rnacentral:rRNA from 1 species
ACACGCUGGCGGCGUGGAUUAGGCAUGCAAGUCGAACGGUAUCAUCCUUUCGGGGGUGAGAGAGUGGCGAACUGGUGAGUAACACGUAGGUUAUCUACCCUCAAGACGGGGACAACCCAGGGAAACUUGGGCUAAUACCGGAUGUGAGCAACUUUUAGUUGUUUGAAAGGUGGCGUAAGCUGUCGCUUGGGGAUGAGCCUGCGUCCUAUUAGUUAGUUGGUGAGGUAACGGCUCACCUAGGCAAUGAUAGGUAGGCGGCCUUAACGGGUGGUCGCCCACACUGGGAUUGAGAUACGGCCCAGACUCCUACGGGAGGCAGCAGUCGAGAAUAGUCUACAAUGGUCGGAAGACUGAUAGUGCGACGCCGCGUGAACGAUGAAUCCCUUCGGGGUGUAAAGUUCUUUUAUAUGUGAGCAGUGCUUCUUAUAUUAACAGUAUGGGGAGAGAGAUAUUAGCAUAUGAAUAAGCAACGGCUAACUCCGUG